rnacentral:rRNA from 1 species
UACGGAGGGGGCGAGCGUUGUCCGGAAUCACUGGGCGUAAAGGGCGCGUAGGCGGCCUGAUAAGUAGGGGGUGAAAUCCUGCGGCUUAACCGCAGGGCUGCCUUCUAAACUGUCGGGCUCGAGCACAGUAGAGGCAGGUGGAAUUCCCGGUGUAGCGGUGGAAUGCGUAGAGAUCGGGAAGAACAUCAGUGGCGAAGGCGGCCUGCUGGGCUGUUGCUGACGCUGAGGCGCGACAGCGUGGGGAGCAAACAGG